UACAGAGGGUGCGAGCGUUAAUCGGAAUUACUGGGCGUAAAGGGUGCGUAGGUGGAUUGAUAAGUCGGAUGUGAAAUCCCUGGGCUUAACCUAGGAAUGGCAUUCGAAACUGUGAGUCUAGAGUAUGGUAGAGGUAAGCGGAAUUUCCGGUGUAGCGGUGAAAUGCGUAGAUAUCGGAAGGAACAUCAGUGGCGAAGGCGGCUUACUGGACUGAUACUGACACUGAGGCACGAAAGCGUGGGGAGCAAACAGG
rnacentral:rRNA from 1 species